AUUGAACGCUAGCGGCAGGCUUAACACAUGCAAGUCGAACGAGUGGCGGACGGGUGAGUAAUGUAUGGGAAACUGCCUGAUGGCGGGGGAUAACUACUGGAAACGGUAGCUAAUACCGCAUACCAUCGGAUGUGCCCAGAUGGGAUUAGCUAGUAGGUGGGGUAAAGGCUCACCUAGGCGACGAUCCCUAGCUGGUCUGAGAGGAUGACCAGCCACACUGGAACUGAGACACGGUCCAGACUCCUACGGGAGGCAGCAGUGGGGAAUAUUGCACAAUGGGCGCAAGCCUGAUGCAGCCAUGCCGCGUGUAUGAAGAAGGCCUUCGGGUUGUAAAGUACUUUCAGCGGGGAGGCGUUACCCGCAGAAGAAGCACCGGCUAACUCCGUGCCAGCAGCCGCGGUAAUUC
rnacentral:rRNA from 1 species